GUGGGAGCGGGGUGGGGGAGAUGCACACCCCACGUCUCGCUGCCCCGAGCCCCGGACCGCAAGCUGGGUGUUUGUCGGGGGCGUCCCCACCCCCAUCCCCGAGGCCGGGUGCGGCACCGCUCUCUCUCUGCCCGCCAGCCGCUCGCUCCUGCAUUAAAAUUUCAUGGGCGCUGCAGUAAAUGCGAAGACGACGCCGGCUGCGCUGGGGGGCCGUAGGGAGGGAGGCUGCGGACCAGUGCGGGGAGGAGUUUACGAGGGGAGGCGCUUGCAGGGGCUCCCCCAGUUCUGUUGAGAGCCGGGCACAAAGAGCCCUCUGCACUCCAGCCGCAGGAGCGAGGAGCCGAGAGCUAGGUGCACAUGGGCGUGGGGACCCAGUACACACCAACCCACAGGUUAGCAGACCUGGGGCGUCCAGUGCAGCUUCAAACCGAAUGCAUCUCCGCACCCUCAUUGCGACAUCGCUCUCGAUGGUGACUACACAUCCUCGGGGAGGCACCGCUUUGGCACCACAGCCCCGCCAGGUGGGUCCCACUCUGCUGACCAGGAUGGCUUGGAGCUCACAGAGGUCCAUCUGCUUCUGCCUCCCAAGAGCUGGGAUUAAAGGCGUGCGUCUGCACCUCCAUACCUGGCUGUGAGGCCUGUCUGUUCACAUGCACAUGGCUGCCGGGUCUCGGUGGCACCUGGGGAUGAAGCAAGUUUUCAUCUGCGUGGAUGCAGGUGGCAGAGGCCAAAAGCUGCAUCCACUUGGCUCUGUCUUGACGCUCACGGGGACUGAGCCUUCCGAACCUCAAGAGUUCCUGCUGGUUCCCAGGUCGCAGAAGAGAGUAGGGGAUUGGGAAGGGCCACAGCCACCCUGCGAAGCAGCCUUGCAGAUAAGUAUCCCUUCACCAGCCCCCUCUGCACCAGCCUGCUUUCUGCUGGUGCACCUGUGAAGGGGGGUUGGCGCUGGAACCCCCAAGAGGGAGGGUGGAUGUCCUGUGUAUGACUCUGGCUCUUGAGGGUGGCAUUUGUAAACUUGGACAGGCUCCUUGGUCUUGCAGACACACGGAGACCUUCUGCAGGGUUUCCCACGGGACACACUGUCUCCACUCAGCUCCAGGCUCCCGAGACAGCCGGCUCUAAGAGCGUGCUACGAGGUGCCUCCCCUUCCCUGACUCAGGCUCUGGGGGACAGAUGUAGUAUAAUUGACAGGAAAGAGCAAAUCUGAGUGCUGGGUUGAGAUUCGGGGCAUCGCCUCCAUCCUGGUGACUUACAGGUGGCCUGGCUGAGCCCUGUACCUCCCGCCCUCUGGCUCCAGACAUGUUCUCUCUGCUGUGGGAGUCACGAAAGGGUGGGGACUGAGAUGAGAAGAGCUGCUUUCUUUUCCAAGCCACUGCCUUGAAUGGCCCUUGUGUGACAGGUCAGGAUGUGUCCCUGGGUCCAGACAGAGGCAUAGGCUUCCAGUGACCUCAGCAGUACUGAGGUCAGAGCUCCAGACCCCUACUCUGCCAGGACUUCCCUCUCGGCUGUCCCUAAGCUGCCCAGCUUGCUCUGAGUUUUCCUGGGUCACGAAGGAAACCACCAUGUGCCCAUGUUUGUGAAGGAUGCUCUGGGUAGCAGGGAAGGAGGAGGAGGCAGGGUGGCUUUUGGGCCAAAGCAGGGCUUGGGUGUGGUCCUCUCCUGUGCCGGGGUUGGCUCUUCUGUCUUCCAGAGUCAUCCUGUGAUGUCUGUGUGUGGGAGGAGCUAGGAGCUAGGCCUGCGAUGAUGAUGUCAGGAGAUGCUGGGUGUCCAGAGGUGAAUGACAGAGACAUGGUGCUACCCUCUGAGGUCUUCAAGUAAGAAAACGCAUCACCACAGCUCAGCGAGGGGAUAGUUCUGCGUGUCUCCAGACCUUGGUCUGCUUUGGAGCCCUGGGGAUCUCCUGGAUUCUGACCUCAUGGAACUGGGGAACAACCUGUCUCCCUGAAGAUCCUGUCCUUGCCAGUGCCAGAGAUGGAGCCCCCUGGAGAAGAGCCACACCUUGAAGAUAACACUGCUUAGCAUCCACCCUGUUUUUGAUGGACAGAUGCAGGAUGGCAGAGGCUGCAGUGUAGAGUCCUGGGGCAUUGGAGGCCCCUCCUGAUCCCUUGUGGACUGGAAUCCUCCUCCAGUGUCUGGAGGAGGGGUGGGGCCCCACCUGAGCCCCUUCCUAAGGACCUGUGGGUAGGGCAGGGACUCCAUGGGCAUGGAGGAGGAGGAGCUGCUGGGGAGGAGCCCGAUGUCUGUCUUUUGUCUGUUUUUCUUCUUUCGGUCUGUGUGCUGCUUGAGUGAUGUUUCUGUCUGGGGCUUCCUGGGUGAGGCUUAGCUCCUGGUUGGUUGUGGUGGACAGCCAAUCCUGGCCUGGGAGGAGCCUGGCUAGCCUUUGUGCAGUCCAGCACAGCAGGGGACCCUGGGAAGAGAAAGGGGGAGUCCCGAGAUGAGGAGACCCAGUCGGGAGGCUUACUGGCAGACUCACAGCUCCAACUUCCUCAGUCACUAGAGAGUGGGCUGCCCCAGUCCGCAGGGGCUGUGGACAGAGCCUUUGCCUGGGACACGGGGCUGCUCAGCCAGCACCCCCAUUCGUGUUGAGUAUCUGUGGAGGGGCUGGGACUGGCAGACAUCUGCACCCCUGCUCUGGGUGAAGUGCCCCAGGAUGACCCCCCCCCCCGCCCCGUCCAUUGUCCGCUUUUGGUCACAGUCCCUCCUAGAGGAGAUGGUUUUUCAGUGUGUGGCCUUCUUUGGUACAGCCUAGAAAGCCCUUUCCCUGGCGCAGGAAGGGUUGUGUAUUUAUCAGCUCAGACUGUGGGACUCAGCACCAGAGACUCACGCCCCCCCCCCCCUUCACCUCCCCUGGGCUUGAGGCCAGCAGAUCAAGAUCAAGGCGCCAGAAGUAGCUUUAUGUUGCGUGGCUUUUCUCUGCAUCCAGAGUGAGUGGGCUCCAGGGAUUUGUCCCACAAGGGCACAGUCUUGUCAUCCAGGCUUAUGACCUCAUCGGGGCGUAGGUACACCCUUGAUGGUCUUGUCUCUUCCAUACCUUCCCAUAGCGGCUGGGGAGUUCAGCCUGUGCGUGCCUCUUGGGGGACACAAUUGGACUCUUUAACGGGGUGGUCCCACAAACAUGAACAGCUAGAGCUAUCUGUCCUCCAGAAUUGCCCACGCAGGGAGGAGCAGAUGAAUGUAAAAUGGGUACAGAGUUGCAGGUGCUGCGCCAGGGAACUCGGGAACAUGGUGGCUGCAGCCCGUGCAGCGCCAGCUCAGGCCCUGGGGCACCCUCUGCUGUCCAAGUCACCUUGAUUUCUACUUUGUCGUGUGGGCCGUCUGCUCUUCUGGGGGCCCCCGGCAGCUUUCACAGGGCUCCUGUGCCUGGCUCAGUCCUGGGCUCUUAGUCCACGUGGAAAUUUAGGGAGGUUAGGGUGAGCGUGCAUCUAGGUAGGGUGCUUACUGAUCCAGGGGCGUUCCUGGCUGGGCCACCCUUGCCUGCCUUCCUGACAAGCCGGGGGCUGCGGCCGCCAUUGGCCUCUGUGGUAGCUUGUCAUGUUUUCCGGAAGAGAAGGAGUCAUGUUUCCUGCUGCCAAUAUGGAGUCCACUCUGGCUCUUGGCUGGGAGCCAGUUUGGGAACCUGGUGCAGUCCAGCCAUCCUUCAGACACUUGGGAUUUCCUAGCCAGCAGGGAGGGAAACAUUACCUAGGAAGAAGUACACAACGGGCAGUCAGCAGAGGCCCCGGAGUGCGUGCGAGGGAGAACCCAGUUCUGGCUUUCCGGAGGGGCUUCCUAGUCAGGCUGACCCAGCCGGGGCCUUGGGGGAUGAGAAAGGUACAGUGUAACUGAGUGCUUUGGGGAGGAAAUUAAAGCAAAAAGCAGGACGUUUUCAGAGCCCC